rnacentral:lncRNA from 1 species
AAAGAAGCCUGCAGAAUAAUUGGGAGGAGUCUGGCAGGAAGGAAGCCAAGAAUCAGUAUUUCAAGCAUCCAAAAUGUGUAGGAGAAUAUGGACCCAAGAACGGAGCAGAGAGACAAAUAGAGGAACGGAAAGUUUUGCCUACAACCAUGAUGUUCUCAAUGUUAGCUGACUGUGUUCUAAAAUCCACUCCAAUUCCCAUUUUGGGAGUUGCUAUGUGAUGAAGGUCUGCCCCUGUGGUGUUGGGACAACUUGCUCAUGGAGUUGCAGUUCUUGCCUAACAGGAACCCACCAUGAGCUGCCUCCUGCCCCUGAGGGGAGGAGUCCAUCCUCUUCUAUAGGAUACACCUGUUGGCUUGUUUGUCCUUCCUUCCCCUUUCUGGGAAUUGUUCUCCAUCAACAUGUUUAUGGGGACAGCCAUUUCUAUACAAUGUGACCUGUAUUGAUCUAUUUUGUGUUGCUAUAAAUAAAUACCUGAGGCUGGUAAUUUUUAAA